GGGGGGACCAUCCUCCAAGGCUAAAUACUCCUGACUGACCGAUAGUGAACCAGUACCGUGAGGGAAAGGCGAAAAGAACCCCGGUGAGGGGAGUGAAAAAGAACCUGAAACCGUGUACGUACAAGCAGUGGGAGCACGCUUAGGCGUGUGACUGCGUACCUUUUGUAUAAUGGGUCAGCGACUUAUAUUCUGUAGCAAGGUUAACCGAAUAGGGGAGCCGAAGGGAAACCGAGUCUUAACUGGGCGUUAAGUUGCAGGGUAUAGACCCGAAACCCGGUGAUCUAGCCAUGGGCAGGUUGAAGGUUGGGUAACACUAACUGGAGGACCGAACCGACUAAUGUUGAAAAAUUAGCGGAUGACUUGUGGCUGGGGGUGAAAGGCCAAUCAAACCGGGAGAUAGCUGGUUCUCCCCGAAAGCUAUUUAGGUAGCGCCUCGUGAAUUCAUCUCCGGGGGUAGAGCACUGUUUCGGCAAGGGGGUCAUCCCGACUUACCAACCCGAUGCAAACUGCGAAUACCGGAGAAUGUUAUCACGGGAGACACACGGCGGGUGCUAACGUCCGUCGUGAAGAGGGAAACAACCCAGACCGCCAGCUAAGGUCCCAAAGUCAUGGUUAAGUGGGAAACGAUGUGGGAAGGCCCAGACAGCCAGGAUGUUGGCUUAGAAGCAGCCAUCAUUUAAAGAAAGCGUAAUAGCUCACUGGUCGAGUCGGCCUGCGCGGAAGAUGUAACGGGGCUAAACCAUGCACCGAAGCUGCGGCAGCGACGCUGAUGCGUUGUUGGGUA
rnacentral:rRNA from 1 species